GCUCGCUUGGCUCAGUUGGUUAGAGCGCAGGUCUCAUACUAUUUCGUGUGACGAGUGUUAUACUCGGUAAUCCUGAGGUCGCAAGUUCGAACCUUGCAGCGAGCA